rnacentral:lncRNA from 1 species
CUUUAACCUUUAAAACUAUCAAACCCAAACCCAAACCCAAGAAUCACCUUGUAGAUGUAGGACAAAACAAAAUCAAGCAUGCAAAGAGAUAGAAAUUUAUACUUUCUCUAACAAAUAGUAUGGUAAGUAGGUGAUCUCCAUAAGACUCUAAAGUAGAAGCCCUCCAAUGAUGAUCUACACGGAAGUUGGCCAAGAUCCUUCCUAACCGGUGCGCUGCUGCAGCCUCUUCUUCACAAGAAUACUGUUGGUUUCAAAUUCGAAGAACGAUUGCACCAAUGCCCAGUUACCUUCAAUUUUGCCACUA